UCCCUGAUAGCUCAGUUGGUAGAGAAUCUGCCUGCAAUGCAGGGAACCCCAGUUCAAUUCCUGGGUUGGGAA
rnacentral:tRNA from 1 species